rnacentral:rRNA from 1 species
CCUACGGGUGGCAGCAGUGGGGAAUAUUGGACAAUGGGCGAAAGCCUGAUCCAGCCAUGCCGCGUGUGUGAAGAAGGCCUUCGGGUUGUAAAGCACUUUCAGUGGGGAAGAAAGCCUUGGGGCUAAUACCCUCGAGGAAGGACAUCACCCACAGAAGAAGCACCGGCUAACUCCGUGCCAGCAGCCGCGGUAAUACGGAGGGUGCGAGCGUUAAUCGGAAUUACUGGGCGUAAAGCGCGCGUAGGCGGUCUGAUAAGCCGGUUGUGAAAGCCCUGGGCUCAACCUGGGAACGGCAUCCGGAACUGUCAGGCUAGAGUGCAGGAGAGGAAGGUAGAAUUCCCGGUGUAGCGGUGAAAUGCGUAGAGAUCGGGAGGAAUACCAGUGGCGAAGGCGGCCUUCUGGACUGACACUGACGCUGAGGUGCGAAAGCGUGGGUAGCAAACAGGAUUAGAUACCCCGGUAGUC